GGAGACCUCAGGUCAGGCGGGG
rnacentral:rRNA from 1 species